UUUUGAAAAUUGAAAUGAGAA
ensembl:piRNA 21ur-2703 ncRNA